GCCGGGCGUGGAGGUGCACUCCUGUAAUCCCAGCAGCUUGGGAGGCUAAGACAGGAGGAUUGUGAGUUCAACCCCAGCCCCAGCAACUCAGUGAGGCUCUAAGUAACUUAGCGAGAACCUGUCAC
rnacentral:sRNA from 1 species